UGGGGAAUUUUGGACAAUGGACGCAAGUCUGGUCCAGCCAUGCCGCGUGCGGGAAGAAGGCCUUCGGGUUGUAAACCGCUUUUGUCAGGGAAGAAACGAGUUUCUCUAAUACAGAGACUUAAUGACGGUACCUGAGGAAUAAGCACCGGCUAACUACGUGCCAGCAGCCGCGGUAAUACGUAGGGUGCAAGCGUUACUCGGAAUUACUGGGCGUAAAGCGUGCGUAGGUGGUUUGUUAAGUCUGAUGUGAAAGCCCUGGGCUCAACCUGGGAAUUGCAUUGGAUACUGGCAGGCUAGAGUGCGGUAGAGGAUGGCGGAAUUCCCGGUGUAGCAGUGAAAUGCGUAGAUAUGCGGAGGAACACCGAUGGCGAAGGCAAUCCCCUGGACCUGUACUGACGCUCAUGCACGAAAGCGUGGGGAGCAAACA
rnacentral:rRNA from 1 species